UCACAAUUAAAGAAAAAGUCCAGCAGAGAGAUCAAAUUUUAAAAUAAGUCAGAACGUUCAUCACCGAUUGGAGUCCGACCACCGAACAGUAGGUGUCACCGCCGGCACCAGGUGAAGCGUCUUGGGGAGCCACUUCAGGCAAAGAUGGACCGACCACCUUCACAUGAACCCGCACCCUCCAAUUUUCUCUCUCAUUCGAUUUUCUUUUUCUUUUUUUUUUUUUCCUCGAUUUGAGUUGAAUUGUAGUAAUUAUUUAAAUCGGCUCGACAGUUUUUAUUGGGAUUGCACCGAUUAUCAUCAGUUUUUCAAUCUUGGGGUUUGACUAUUCAAAUCGGACCGAAACACUGUCCGGUGUCCAAUUAAACGGUCAAACCGUAGUAUUCAAAUUGAUGAACAAAUAUUGGUGGAGACGGACAGUGGAUAGUGACUCAGGGAUUCACUAGUGUAGUUGGAAGAAGCUUGCUGCGAAGAAGGAUCAUGGUGGACUUAAUUGGGUUUCGUAUAUUCAGGAGAUUAAUAUUGCAUUAAUAGCUAAGCAGGGUCGGAAGUUUUUGAAUGAGCCCCAGUCUUUUGCCUCUUGAUUGUAUAAGGCAAAAUAUUUUCGUGAUGUAAACUUUUUGCAAGCUGAGGUGGGAAAGAAUCUGAGUUACAUCUAGAGAAGUACAAUGAAAAGUCAAGAUUUGUUACGGGCAGGCUGUAUACGGCGGAUUGGUAAUGGCCGGGGUACCGAUGUUUUUUGUUGUCCAUGGCUUCCGGAUCCACGGCAGCCUUUUAUUCAGAGUAUGAAUGACAUGGGUAUAGAGGAGGUUAUGGGUUCUGACGUGAUGUUGCCAGAUAGGAGUGGUUGGGAUAUGGAUGUUGUUAGCGGUUUGUUUACGAUGGAGGAAGUUCAAUUGAUUCUCAUAAUCCCUAUUCACUUUAUGCAGGGAGAAGAUGGAUGGAUGUGGUGGUGGGAUUCUAAGGGAAUUUAUUUGGUUGGUAGUGGGUAUCAGUACAUGGUUGAGCAAGCGCAAGGGUUUAAUUUGCAACGGGGAAUUAGCUGGGAUUGGGGUUGUAGAGGGAGCAAGUGCCGCAUUAAACUUGGUUUGGAGGAUUUUUUUUCAAACAUUGUGCCGGUGAAGAACAAUCUUAUCUAACGCAAGGUGACGCUGGAUCCUGUGUGUUCUUCGUGUAAUGCAGAAACUAAGACGACAUUGAAUUGUUUCCUGUAUUGUCCCUUUGCGAUGGAGUGUUGGUUUUUGCUGGAUGGUGUUGCAUGGCGUCAUUUUGAUACACACAGAUUGGUUCCAGUUCUUUAUGGGUUAUGAUAAAUGGAUGUGGGCUAUGUAUUUCUAUUUUCUGCAGGCGAUUUGUUAUAUGGAACAAGGUAGUGUCGGAGUCUCGUUUUCUUAUUGCGCAAGAUUGUGUGUUUCGUGCGCAGCAGUUGCUUCUUGAAUGGUCUGCGGCUCAGGCUUCAAAAAUAGUAACUCAUUCCACUGCUCAGCCUUUGUCGGUGCAGUGGAAUCCUCCUCAACCUGGCAUUGUGAAGUACAACGUUGACGCUACGUUCUUAGCAGCAAAUGGCCGAUUGGGUGUGGUGUCGCUUUUGCAGGAUUCUCUUGGUUAUGUGCUGGGGUUAGGCUAUCGAUGGUGCAUGGUGUUUAUAAUUCCUUGAUAGCUGAGGCGAUAGGGAUUAAGGAAGCGCUUAGUUGGCUAAAGUCGCAGGCAGUAGCAUAUGCGGUGGAGAUGGAGACUAACUCGAUGCUGGUGAUUCAGGCUAUGAAAAAUGCUAAAAAGGAUAACUCUUAUUUUGGGACUGUUAUUUCAAAUUGUAAAACUCUAGCUAAAGGUUUUACCUCUAUUUCUUUUAAUUUUAUAAAAAGCUCACCAGUUUGUUAGAGCUGUUGUUUCUGGGUCUGGCUUCUUGGAGUGGGGUGUAACUCCUCCAAGUCUUAUUUUGGAUGUAUUGGCUUAUGAAAAGACUUGCAAAACACAAGGAAAUUAUUCA